UGGGAUACGUGGUCUCAGCCGUUAGUUGA
rnacentral:piRNA from 1 species